UAGCUAGUUGGUGAGGUAAAGGCUUACCAAGGCGACGAUCUGUAGCGGGUCUGAGAGGAUGAUCCGCCACACUGGAACUGAGACACGGUCCAGACUCCUACGGGAGGCAGCAGUGGGGAAUUUUGGACAAUGGGGGCAACCCUGAUCCUGCCAUGCCGCGUGAGUGAAGAAGGCCUUCGGGUUGUAAAGCUCUUUCGGGCGGGAAGAAAUCGCAUGGGCCAAUACCCUGUGUGGAUGACGGUACCGGAAUAAGAAGCACCGGCUAACUACGUGCCAGCAGCCGCGGUAAUACGUAGGGUGCGAGCGUUAAUCGGAAUUACUGGGCGUAAAGCGUGCGCAGGCGGUUUUGUAAGACAGGCGUGAAAUCCCCGGGCUUAACCUGGGAACUGCGUUUGUGACUGCAAGGCUAGAGUACGGCAGAGGGGGGUGGAAUUCCACGUGUAGCAGUGAAAUGCGUAGAGAUGUGGAGGAACACCAAUGGCGAAGGCAGCCCCCUGGGUCGAUACUGACGCUCAUGCACGAAAGCGUGGGUAGCAAACAGGAUUAGAUACCCAGGUAGUCCACGCCCUAAACUAUGUCAACUAGGUGUUGGGUGGGUAAAACCAUUUAGUACCGUAGCUAACGCGUGAAGUUGACCGCCUGGGGAGUACGGCCGCAAGGUUAAAACUCAAAGGAAUUGACGGGGACCCGCACAAGCGGUGGAUGAUGUGGAUUAAUUCGAUGCAACGCGAAAAACCUUACCUACCCUUGACAUGCCAGGAACUUGCCAGAGAUGGCUUGGUGCCCGAAAGGGAGCCUGGACACAGGUGCUGCAUGGCUGUCGUCAGCUCGUGUCGUGAGAUGUUGGGUUAAGUCCCGCAACGAGCGCAACCCUUGUCGUUAAUUGCCAUCAUUUGGUUGGGCACUUUAACGAGACUGCCGGUGACAAACCGGAGGAAGGUGGGGAUGACGUCAAGUCCUCAUGGCCCUUAUGGGUAGGGCUUCACACGUCAUACAAUGGUCGGUACAAAGGGUUGCCAAGCCGCGAGGCGGAGCCAAUCCCAGAAAGCCGAUCGUAGUCCGGAUUGCAGGCUGCAACUCGCCUGCAUGAAGUCGGAAUCGCUAGUAAUCGUGGAUCAGCAUGUCACGGUGAAUACGUUCCCGGGUCUUGUACACACCGCCCGUCACACCAUGGGAGCGGGUUCCGCCAGAAGUGGGUAGCCUAACCGCAAGGAGGGCGCUUACCACGGCGGGGUUCGUGACUGGGGUGAAGUCGUAACAAGGUAGCCGUAGGGGAACCUGCGGCUG
rnacentral:rRNA from 1 species